CUUGGUCAUUUAGAGGAAGUAAAAGUCGUAACAAGGUCUCCGUAGGUGAACCUGCGGAGGGAUCAUUACACAAAUAUGAAGGCGGGCUGGAACCUCUCGGGGUUACAGCCUUGCUGAAUUAUUCACCCUUGUCUUUUGCGUACUUCUUGUUUCCUUGGUGGGUUCGCCCACCACUAGGACAAACAUAAACCUUUUGUAAUUGCAAUCAGCGUCAGUAACAAAUUAAUAAUUACAACUUUCAACAACGGAUCUCUUGGUUCUGGCAUCGAUGAAGAACGCAGCGAAAUGCGAUAAGUAGUGUGAAUUGCAGAAUUCAGUGAAUCAUCGAAUCUUUGAACGCACAUUGCGCCCUUUGGUAUUCCAAAGGGCAUGCCUGUUCGAGCGUCAUUUGUACCCUCAAGCUUUGCUUGGUGUUGGGCGUCUUGUCUCUAGCUUUGCUGGAGACUCGCCUUAAAGUAAUUGGCAGCCGGCCUACUGGUUUCGGAGCGCAGCACAAGUCGCACUCUCUAUCAGCAAAGGUCUAGCAUCCAUUAAGCCUUUUUUUCAACUUUUGACCUCGGAUCAGGUAGGGAUACCCGCUGAACUUAAGCAUAUCAAUAAGCGGAGGAAAAGAAACCAACAGGGAUUGCCCUAGUAACGGCGAGUGAAGCGGCAACAGCUCAAAUUUGAAAUCUGGCUCUUUUAGAGUCCGAGUUGUAAUUUGCAGAGGGCGCUUUGGCUUUGGCAGCGGUCCAAGUUC
rnacentral:rRNA from 1 species